GGUUUCUAAAGGAAUGUCUUUUGCCAAAUAAGGCGCCGUGAGACCGCAGACAUUAAACAGCGGACAUAUAGGACUGGUACCGGCACAUCUGACAGAAAAUUGGAUAUGCACGUGCUGAGAGAAAAUACUACAAAUCUCAGGAUUGAUUUCAAACACCAGUUUAAUUAUGACCGGUAUGAUUGGACUGAACUUUGACUUCAAUCUAACUACUUUUAUAGCGCAUGGUGUCUUCAUGUAGGCAUAUACUGGAUGCUACUAAAAAUAAGGGUAAAUACACGGCGAAAAUCCAUACGGCUUGCAUCUUUAGCUGAUUUUGGUUCUGGAUGUGAAGGUCAUAGGUUUGAGACCCAUUUCAAAAUU
rnacentral:lncRNA from 1 species